rnacentral:rRNA from 1 species
UACGUAGGGGGCAAGCGUUGUCCGGAAUCAUUGGGCGUAAAGAGCGUGUAGGCGGCCCGGUAAGUCCGCUGUGAAAGUCCAGGGCUCAACCCUGGAAUGCCGGUGGAAACUGUCGGGCUAGAGUCCGGAAGAGGCGAGUGGAAUUCCUGGUGUAGCGGUGAAAUGCGCAGAUAUCAGGAGGAACACCAAUGGCGAAGGCGGGUCUCUGGGCCGAUACUGACUGCGUGAGCGAGAAGCGUGGGGAGCGAACAGG